AAAUUGAAGAGUUUGAUCAUGGCUCAGAUUGAACGCUGGCGGCAGGCCUAACACAUGCAAGUCGAACGGUAGCACAGAGAGCUUGCUCUCGGGUGACGAGUGGCGGACGGGUGAGUAAUGUCUGGGAAACUGCCCGAUGGAGGGGGAUAACUACUGGAAACGGUAGCUAAUACCGCAUAAUGUCGCAAGACCAAAGUGGGGGACCUUCGGGCCUCACACCAUCGGAUGUGCCCAGAUGGGAUUAGCUUGUUGGUG
rnacentral:rRNA from 2 species